rnacentral:tRNA from 1 species
GGGUAGAGCAGUUGGUAGCUCGUCGGGCUCAUAACCCGGAGGUCGUAGGUUCGAAUCCUUCCCCCG